rnacentral:tRNA from 1 species
GUCCCUGUAACGCAAUGGACAGCGCGUAGGACUUCUAAUCCAAUGAUCGUGGGUUUGAAUCCCACCUGGGAUG